rnacentral:rRNA from 1 species
UACGGAGGGGGCUAGCGUUGUUCGGAAUUACUGGGCGUAAGCGCACGUAGGCGGCUUUGUAAGUUAGAGGUGAAAGCCCGGGGCUCAACUCCGGAAUUGCCUUUAAGACUGCAUCGCUAGAAUUGUGGAGAGGUGAGUGGAAUUCCGAGUGUAGAGGUGAAAUUCGUAGAUAUUCGGAAGAACACCAGUGGCGAAGGCGACUCACUGGACACAUAUUGACGCUGAGGUGCGAAAGCGUGGGGAGCAAACAGG